rnacentral:misc_RNA from 1 species
AACGCACCUUGCGCUCCUUGGUAUUCCGAGGAGCAUGCCUGUUUGAGUGUCGUGAAAUUCUCAACCUGUCUAACUUGAAAGAGCUAGAUCAGGCUUGGAUGGUGGAGGUUGCUGGUUUCCCAGAAAUCAGCUCUUCUUAAAUGUAUUAGCAGAAACUUUGCUAAUUAUCUUUGGUACGAUAAUUAUCUAUACCACGGACAAUUGGUUCCUUCAUUGGAGGGUUUUGCUGCUUCUAAUAGUCUAUUCAGACAAUUCUUGACAAUUUUGACCUCAAAUCAGGUAGGACUACCCGCUGAACUUAA